GGCAGCAGCACGCCUCCUCCUCUUUCAGCAAACACAGCUAGCUAGCAGCACCUGCUCCCUUCGCCUGUAAUCAUGGCGUAUUGCUGCGACGACGGCUGCAACUGCCCCCCUGACUGCGGGUGCCCAUGCGACUGCUGCAAUUUGUACCCUGAAGUGGAGACCGCCGCCGCCAGCGGCAUCCUCGCUGCGCCGACCACCAAGGCCAGCGCCGGCGGCUGCAACACCUGCAAGUGCGGCGGCACCAGCUGCAACUGCAACUGCAGCUGAGCCGGCCCAAUGGUGGCGCACGAGAGGACGACGACGACGAGGCGUAGUAUAUAUGUAUGUAGCAGCGUCUAAAUAAGAUCCUGUCAAGAGUCAACUGCACCCGCCAUUGUAUGGUCGCCUGCCUCGCCUUCGUCUCCUGGUCCUGGGGUUCGUUCAUCUGAACGUUCUCGCGGUCCUGUCAGCCUCGUGCCGGAUUCAAUAUUUAUAUAUACACAUACACACGU
rnacentral:lncRNA from 1 species